AUUGAACGCUGGCGGCAGGCUUAACACUUGCAAGCCGAACGAGUGGCGGACGGGUGAGUAAUGCUUGGGAAUCUAGCUUAUGGAGGGGGAUACCUACGGGAAACUGUAGCUCAUACCGCGUACCACAGGAUGUGCCCAAGGGGGAUUAGGUAGUUGGUGUGGUAAAGGCUCACCAAGCCGCCGAUCGCUAGCUGGUCUGAGAGGAUGACCAGCCACACUGUGACUGAGACACGGUCCAGACUCCUACGGGAGGCAGCAGUGGGGAAUAUUGCGCAAUGGGGGCAACCUGACGCAGCCAUGCCGCGUGAAUGAAGAAGGCCUUCGGGUUGUAAAGUUCUUUCGGUAGCGAGGCGUUAACUACAGAAGAAGCACCGGCUAACUCCGUGCCAGCAGCCGCGGUAAUUC
rnacentral:rRNA from 1 species